GUCUUCAACCAUAACCCCAGUGACACGAUGCCGAUCUCAUCUGAUCUUGGAAGCUACAGCAGGGGUUGGCCUGGUUAGUACUGAGAUGAGAAGACCACUAGGAAUACUGUGCUGUAGGCU
rnacentral:rRNA from 1 species